CAAUCCUGGUGGCGAGUGGCGAACGGGUGAGUAAUAUAUCGGAACGUGCCCAGUCGUGGGGGAUAACGCAGCGAAAGCUGUGCUAAUACCGCAUACGAUCUAUGGAUGAAAGCGGGGGACCGUAAGGCCUCGCGCGAUUGGAGCGGCCGAUAUCAGAUUAGCUAGUUGGUGGGGUAAAAGCCCACCAAGGCGACGAUCUGUAGCUGGUCUGAGAGGACGACCAGCCACACUGGAACUGAGACACGGUCCAGACUCCUACGGGAGGCAGCAGUGGGGAAUUUUGGACAAUGGGCGCAAGCCUGAUCCAGCAAUGCCGCGUGCAGGAUGAAGGCCUUCGGGUUGUAAACUGCUUUUGUACGGAACGAAACGGUCCUUUCUAAUAUAAGGGGCUAAUGACGGUACCGUAAGAAUAAGCACCGGCUAACUACGUGCCAGCAGCCGCGGUAAUACGUAGGGUGCGAGCGUUAAUCGGAAUUACUGGGCGUAAAGCGUGCGCAGGCGGUUAUAUAAGACAGAUGUGAAAUCCCCGGGCUCAACCUGGGACCUGCAUUUGUGACUGUAUAGCUAGAGUACGGUAGAGGGGGAUGGAAUUCCGCGUGUAGCAGUGAAAUGCGUAGAUAUGCGGAGGAACACCGAUGGCGAAGGCAAUCCCCUGGACCUGUACUGACGCUCAUGCACGAAAGCGUGGGGAGCAAACAGG
rnacentral:rRNA from 1 species